CUACAGAAUGAGCAUACCACUUUUUUGCUCUUCCCAAAAGGGAGAACGGAAAUAAUUUCCAUUUAAGGGUUUCUUGGUCAUGCCAGAAAUAGAUCGGCAAGAACACAACUACUCGGAUUCUCUAAGGUGGGUGUAUGGAUCUUCAUCUACUUGCCUAGAGAAGGGUUGCUCCUGAAUCAUGGCUAUUAGAUCAGGGCCGAGGUCGUAGCCAUCUGUAAGAAUUGGAUGUGAUGAUGGUGGUGGCUCUAAUAACUCGCCCUUUGGAGCAAAGAAUUUUUAGAUAGGAGUGAAAUCCAUGUGGUAUGGUGAAAAUGGUAAGGUGAGUGUGGUAAAAAAAAGGAAAAUAAAAAGGAUACACGGACGACUU
rnacentral:lncRNA from 1 species